UACAUUUAUUGUAAUUUGUAGUCUGCUAGUUUAUUCAGGUAGAACAUUUCCUAUUGUUUAUAUCUUUUCUAUUGGUCACUAUGAUUUAGGCGGGAAUCUUUUGUUUAACUAUUCUUUGUUCUGGUCACUUGGCUAAAAUAUUUAUAUGAAGUGGUAGCCAUUUUCUUCAGCUCUAUUGGAAGUUGUUAUAUCUUUAAUUUGGUUCUUGAAAUAGUCUAGGACUUUCAUAUUCUUUUAUAAGGUUAUACUAUUGAAACAGAAUGUAAACUGAUUCAAAUCAAUCAGUUGGUGAAAAGACCUUUGCACUACAUGUGAGGUAUGUUUAUAUGUAUAAAGUUUGUAUUGUUCAUGUUACUUUUAUGUUGCUUUGCUUAAAUGUAUUGUCUGCUUUGUGUAACUGUUGCAAAACGGAAUGUCUUGUUUGCACUUACAAUUGCGUGUUAUUAUUAUGUUAAACUAACUAUUUUCGGUAUGAUACUACAAGCGUAGCUAUGUAUUAGCUGUGAACUUAGUCUGUCGUUGCAUAUUUCACAAUGCACUAAAUACAGAGAAAUAUAGAAUGUACUUAUUUAAUACAGAAUUCGGAAUGGUGUAAUAUCGUUUUGUGUAGCUUGUAAUAAUAUUAUUUUAAAGAGCAAAGGAAAUCUACAGUUUUCUUCUAUGCAUAUAGAUAUAUUGAUUUUAUAGUAAUUGAUAAUUACUACUUAUUGAAUUGUAUAAGAAAUAUAUUGUUAUUAUUUCAGGGUCAUUUUUGUUAGAAUAUUACCAUCAAUUCUGAUGAAAUAAAGAACCUAAACCUAUCAA